CGGAACCUUGUUAGAGCCAUAAAAAUAGUAGCACGGAACAGAAUGGAUGGCGAAUAGGAUAGGGACAAAAACCUAGCGCGCCAGCCAAGAUACUCUCAUAGGACUGCUACAGUUCAGCAAAGCAGGUUAGACCAAUUAAACAAGCGUCAGCUGCUUUCGCUGAUUAGCAUUCACACCUCACACUGUGCGGGAGAGAGAGAGAGAGAGAGAGAAAGAGAUGAUUUCAUAUGGAACAUGUUUCAUAUGGAGCGGCUUCUUGAGCUUAAACAUAAGAUAAUUUAUUGAGCCAGUUAAGCAAAGCAGCCAGGGAUAGAUAGCGGGUCGGAGAGCGAGUAUUAUGUGGCAAUGUUAUGGCUUGUUGCACAAAGUUUAAUCAUGGUUGGACGUCCCUGCACACAUUCAUCUGAGGGAUUACACCUCUGACAGGAAGACGAUGCUUCACAUACUGAUAAGAGUUUGCUUUUGUUUUUCCCCCCAUCGUCAUCACAGCUCCUUUGCUCUUCACUGCACUCAGCCGUCUAAUUCUCCCCAGGCAGACGUCAUUACAUUUCCUAUCUAAGCGAGAGUAUUUGGGCUACACAGAUCGAUGGUCUUAGUAAAUGCCAGUUGAGACUGUGUGUUGGGUCCAUUUCCAGACUAGUCAAUUGCGCCAUGCGUGGGAUUUAGGCAGCCAGAUUUACAGGACAUGCUCGACAGAGGUGAUUGUGGAAGGAGAUCAGUGUCUCCAAUGGCUUGCUUUUGUCACUCUGGGUGCAUUUGCAGUUCACAGGAGGGAAAAAGGAUAGUUGUUGUUGUGGGUCACCCUCAGUGUCUUCUGUGAAGGAGCGAAUCUUGCACAACCUGGCAGAAAGAUGGCAUCAUGGUCGUAGAUCGGCUCUAAAAUCAAAAGAAAUUAUUAACAAAAAUAAGACAAUGUUGAAAAGAGAAACAGCGGAGGAAGCCCCAGGCAGUUUGAGAACUGGAUUGGAGGAAGCAAGUGUUGCAGCCUAUAAGAUUCCUCCUUCACCUUUGUGUAACCAUAGUGUGACAGAUUUUGUUACCAUUGCCAUGCAUUAUACGGCUGAGAGACUGCAACGCCUGAGGCUAAAAAUCCUAAUUUGUGUUCUACCGAAGAAACAAAGUCACCUACAUCUUGGAUGCCCUGGGGCAGAACGACAGAACAGCCCAGCAGGGGAGAUGCUGCUAUCAUCUGGACCAUGUUAAAGAGUGAUGCCUCCUUUUUGUUUCAUAAUGACCAUUUAAUAGAGAAAGUUGUUAUUCCGGCUCCAUCGCCUCCAUUGGCUAUGACUGUUGUCCAAGUGCUGUCUUCCCCGUAGGAGCUUAGCGGAGGGUCUGGACCACUUCGAAUCCACUAAAAUAUCAGCGGACACACUGGAUACUCAGGAAAGCUGGGGACAAUUUAGAAAGAGCACAGCACACAUAAUUAGAGACAUAAAAUGUUCUUUGUUUGUUAAUUCAUGUAAACAACGGUAUUGAUUACAUAAAUGGCAUAUGACAUCAGUCACAAACAACCAAUGCACAAGUUAUGCAAGUCUCACACAGUAAUUUGGGUUUAUGUGAGGACCAGCUAGGCAACUUUAAUAAAAGUUUUCUGAGGACAGUAAAUUUUAGUUUCCCAGUUUGGUGAGUCUUGAGUCUGUUUUAUGCAUUUAAUUCUGUCAUCCAAACUUUUCCUACCUAAAGUAUGUGGUCUUAAUCAGUGUUUUCCAU
ensembl:lncRNA